rnacentral:rRNA from 1 species
AGCAGCCGCGGUAAUUCCAGCUCCAAUAGCGUAUAUUAAAGUUGCUGCAGUUAAAAAGCUCGUAGUUGAAUUUCGGGACCAAUAUGUCGGUCGUGCCUCGGUACGUACUGGCAUCGUUGGUUUUUCCCUUCUGACGAACCAUGAUGUCAUUUAUUUGGUGUCGUGGGGAAUCAGGACUGUUACUUUGAAAAAAUUAGAGUGUUUAAAGCAGGCUCACGCUUGAAUACAUUAGCAUGGAAUAAUGAAAUAGGACGUUUGAUUCUAUUUUGUUGGUUUCUAGGAUCGACGUAAUGAUUAAUAGGGAUAGUUGGGGGCAUUAGUAUUCAAUUGUCAGAGGUGAAAUUCUUGGAUUUAUUGAAGACUAACUACUGCGAAAGCAUUUGCCAAGGAUGUUUUCAUUAAUCAAGAACGAAAGUUAGGGGAUCGAAGACGAUCAGAUACCGUCGUAGU